rnacentral:sRNA from 2 species
AUGUGCCACGCGUACACUGCAGUUCUGAGUGCGCGCCAGAACCCACCUCACCACCGCUUGCGAUGUCGUGUCAGCU